rnacentral:siRNA from 1 species
AAGAGAAUAAUGAGCCUUCAGUGC